UUAAAUUGAAGAGUUUGAUCAUGGCUCAGAUUGAACGCUGGCGGCAGGCCUAACACAUGCAAGUCGAGCGGAAACGAGUUAUCUGAACCUUCG
rnacentral:rRNA from 2 species